CGCCGCCCCUCGGGCCUCACCGGCACGGCCCGGAGCGGGACGUGCCCUCGGGAGGGAGUCUGCCAGGAGCAAUAUGGAGACGGCUUGGAAGUCCUGUGUCCCGCGGUCCCUCGCUGAAAUUUGAUUGGAAAGGCUGGAGCCACAGCAGCUGGGGAGCCACAGAGAGACUGAAGCUGAACAUCAUCCAAAAAUGGUGAGAGAUGACAGGCAUUGAAAAGGUAGCUUCAUUCCAAGCCUGUUCUCCUUGUGAGUCCCUCCUGUAGAAAUAAAACUGUGGUACUUG